CUAAGAGCACCGCCACUGCGCUCGCCCUCGCCAGCUCCGGGCUCCGGAGACUCGAAAGCCGCCGCCCAGCACGCUGCUCCUGGCACCUGAAGACCAGCUCCGGGCUGGGCGGGCAACCACAGAGUGACUUGUGACGAUGCCAGGCAGAGAGCGAAGUGAGUAGUCAAAGAAAACUCACCCUGGACAAACCGGCUGCUGGCAUCUCAGCUGCCGGGGUGGGAAGCGCCCUCUGCGGGAAUGAAGUCAUCCUACCCUUUUCUGGGUGCGCCCAGAUAACCGACCAGAGCGUUCCUUUCCCAAGCUCUGGGGCCUGAGGACUUCCAGCUACUCCACCAGGUUCUCAGGUCCUGGACUCCGUCCUAAUUCCUCACCUCCUACUGCGAGCCUUGCACAGGACGAGAGAAGGUUUGCCGUGACAGCAAAGAGCUUUGUUUCAUCUACAGUAGGAAAAUGUGCCAACCAGCCUGCGGGAGAGGCUCAGGAGGCUCCUGAAGCAGUGUGCCUGAAGGCAGCCGGGGGACCACAUUCGUGGCUGCAAGAUACACCUGAUGGGGCCACUUGCUCUUGGUCUGAAGCUGCAGAAGGAAAGAAAUGGCCAAUUCUGCAGUUAAAUAGUCCGGCAGAUAAAGGAAAGGCUGACAAAUCUACCUAGCAGCUGCCACUGCUAAGAGAGAAUGGCGCACCAUUUCCUCUAAAGAGUAGAAAUCACACAACAAACAGGGCCUGCAGAUUGUGGUUAUCAGUCUGGAUGCGAACUUGACCUAACACUGGAAAAAUGCAAAUCCACAAGCACAGAACUGAGACUUCCUAUCUGGUUAGCCAGCUGCUUCCAUACUCAGCCAUCGAUACGUUCUUCGAACUGGUCCUUCUCUUCCCUACAACUACCCAGUGACAACAGGGGUCUUCGGUCACUCAAGGCCAGAGACCUUGGCCUCUAGAGUAUGGAGGGAGCCAUCAGCUUGAUGCAAGCUCUUUGAAGCAGGAUAUAAAAACAUGAAGGCAACAGUCAGGCAUCAUAACAUUUUAUGGUGAACUGAAGAAACGCAGGCUUGCACAGGCCGGUUAACAUUUCAGAAGACAUGCCGGUGCUUGACCUAAAGCAAGGCGGCCCACAAGUGGACUGAAAAACAAUACUAGCUCUCUCUCACAGGGCUUGAGGAGGAGAGUGAUGAAGACGGUUUUUUUUUUUUUUUCCCCAGGUGGAAUAAAAACAAAAACAAAACCCAAAACCAACCAAACAAAAACACAGCCAAGAGGAUGGAGACCGAAGCAUUCCAUGUGGAGCCUCUACUGUUUUAGUUACCCUGAGAGAGGGGAGGACCCCUGACUUCAAUUGGAGAGAGACUACGUAUGCCCUUGGGAAGAAGGCAGCGUGGCUCUUUUCAGCCUGGAGCCGAACUGCUUCCAUGAGCCAGGCAUAAGGCUGCAAAGAGGACCAGAGGAGGAAAACACUGUAAUACUGAGAUAUCAGCAGGUUAACAAUUGUGAAUGCUUCCUUAGCUGGGUGAACCCAAUUCACCACCAGCAAGCAGGAAUUCACAGUAAAGAGUGAGCUCCAAGAACUAAACAGGCAGAGUUCUUUCUAGAAUAAACCAAGGUCGUUGUGGAGGUUGCUGGCAAGGAAGUCUGAAGUGGCCUGGACUACAAGGACUUGUGUUGAAGGGGGGGGGGGGGGGGGAAGACUUGUUUUCAUUGCUCUGCUCAUGGGCACAAAUAGUGACUCUGAAGUCUUGAAAACCCCAACACAGCACAACAGCCCAUUAUGUCACUGCGGUUUUGUUUUAAAAGGACAAAGAGGCAAGUUAGAACCCGAGCCUGCUGCCAGCCUCAGUGCUGACUUUUUCCUCUCCUUGUGAGUUUAGGCACCAUCUCAGUAC
ensembl:lncRNA